AUUGAACGCUGGCGGCAUGCUUUACACAUGCAAGUCGAACGGUAACAGGGAGCUUGCUCCGCUGACGAGUGGCGAACGGGUGAGUAAUAUAUCGGAACGUGCCCAAGAGUGGGGGAUAACGUAGCGAAGGUUACGCUAAUACCGCAUACGACCCAAGGAUGAAAGCAGGGGACCUUCGGGCCUUGUGCUCCUGGAGCGGCCGAUAUCUGAUUAGCUAGUUGGUGAGGUAAAGGCUCACCAAGGCGACGAUCAGUAGCUGGUCUGAGAGGACGACCAGCCACACUGGAACUGAGACACGGUCCAGACUCCUACGGGAGGCAGCAGUGGGGAAUUUUGGACAAUGGGGGCAACCCUGAUCCAGCAAUGCCACGUGAGUGAAGAAGGCCUUCGGGUUGUAAAGCUCUUUUGUCAGGGAAGAAAAGGGUACGGCUAAUAUCCGUGCCUCAUGACGGUACCUGAAGAAUAAGCACCGGCUAACUACGUGCCAGCCGCCGCCGUAA
rnacentral:rRNA from 1 species